rnacentral:miRNA from 1 species
UCAAUCUGAAUUGUUGCGGCU